GCUGGUUCGUCUGCUGGUGCCGCCCGGGGCCUGGGCCCGGGCCUGGGCCCGGGCCCUGGCCGGCGGUGGGCAGGGUGGAAAUCGGCCAGCCCGUAGCUGCGGCUGGAGAUGGAUUAGCCUGAUCCUAGAUGAGAACCGAGAAAGAUGCAGCUCUUGGCUGCAGGGAGAGACGUGUCUUCCCUUUAGAUCCAGCCCCUCUGGAACCAAUGACUGCCACCAACAGCUACCGCUGGAAGAUCCUGCUAGACCAUGGCAUGGCCUUCCCCAGGCUGUGAUUGAAGAUUUCACUGCCAAAAAAUCAGCAAGACAAACUCUGAAUAUAAUUCAGAGUAGAAGAUGACACCUAUGUUAUUAGACCUGACAGCAAUGUGACAAGAAAGCAGAUAACAAGAAAGAUUCACUAUGGGCAACAAAAUCGUAUAAACUUGUUUGGUUUGUCUCUUUGUAUUUGAAUACGUUUGCAACAAUUCAACAUCAGCUCCUCCAAAAAUGCAGAUAUUUGUGUUCUCAACUUGUUGUCAAACAAAAUGACAUCAACCAGCAACCCAUACUUCAGCAGUGUUGCUUCUGUAACAACAGUAAUAAAUGCUGUUGAUGGGCAAUAACCCAGUGUCACAACAGCAUCCCAGUCGUAAAUAGACAUGAUACCAAAGAGUACUCCCAUUACUCCCCCUUUGUGUACCUAGAUAGAUCUUUUCUGCCCAGUUUGAGAAACACUUCUCCAUAAAGUGCUUUUGUGAAAAAAAGCAAACUGGAAGGUUGAAAGAGAAACACAGAGAUGCAGGUCCCAGUGCUUGGCCCAUUAAAGGAGGUACUGAGUAAGUUUCCUGUAGAGUUUGGAAAGGCCCUCUAUAGAACUAAAUAAAUUUUGGUUUGCCCUCCUAAGAGAGCUUUGGGAAGCUGUCUUGUAAAGCAGAAGGGUAUGGGCAGGUAUGUCGAACAGCUGUUUGAAGGGCAAAUCUAGAAAACAUUCCUGUCCAGGACAAUUCCCAGGAACAUGUUUAACUUUAAUCAUGCAGUGUAAAUCAAUCCUGUACUUCCCACCUGUUGAGGAUGGAGCAUUUGUGCCUUUCCAUUGCAGUGAUUGUACCCUUCCAGUGCAGUAACUCGCUGCUACUUUGUCUCCCUUAUCUUCAGCUAAAGCUCCCUGAACUCGCUUAUGUCAAAUGGAGAGCCAGUUCAGAAAACUGUAUAAGCACAACAUGUCCUUUUUUAUUCUGAAGCACUUUGCUGAAGUUACAGAUGUCUUUUUAACCUGAACAUAUGCUUCACUACAUAGCUUCACGGCUUCAGAACAGCUAUGGUACGACUACAGGCUGUCUCCUGAGGUAAAUAAGCACCCACCUGCUAAGCUAGAAAAAAAAGAAGAAAACCAUUCACAUUUUAUAUUCCACAUGGUGAUGCACUGUCCUUAUGGAAAAAGGUGAGUGGCAAUGUGUCACAGCUUGCCAACUUCCAAUACAUUUCUGAAUGCUGUGUCUCAUCGGUAGACUUGAAUUUCCGAAGUAAGGAGUGUUAAGUUUCAGUGAAAGACUUGAACUGUUCUAUUAAUGACCUAAUGGGUGAAGUAGGAUUCAGUGUUUUUUACUCAAACAAUCCCAGACUUGAAAUAUUUGAACUCCGUCUCAUUUCUGCUUGUCUGUUUUCCUGAUAGAUAUUCACAUGGAUCCAAUCAUCGGAUAAAUUUCUGAAUCAGCAGAAAACAUCUGAACUCCUUCCAAAAAUACAAAAUAGAGGUCAUUAAAAUUAGGUAUUUGAAUCCAUUAUAUCUCAGUACAGUGCCAUAGCUUUAAAAGGUGCUAAGUACAAUGGGAGCUUUGCCUCAUGAUCUUGUUAUCAUCCCUGGACACCAGAACUUGAAUAUUUAGAUAUCUCAGUGCAUUUGAAAUUGUUAGUUUCUGUCCUUUUAGAGUGAGAAGAAAAAGAAACCUAGACAAAGUUUUCUUGAGGAAUAGGUCUCAUUUAAAACUCAUAACUUUAAAACAAUUAUACUCAUUUUUCCAGGCUUGGCAUUUCUUAGAUCACAACAAAAUAAAAAAAAAACCACCCCAAAACAAACUAGGUGUGAUAUUUCUGUCCUCUGCCAUUAUUGAAAUAUUCAGGCAUAAAAUAUAAUACUGAAACAUCUGGAAAAGGUUAUGUAAUUAAUCCACACAUAACUUAGAAAUGUUUGGAAUUAUAUUACUCAAAUUUUUAUACAAAAAAUAUUAGGCAAAACUAGAAAAGUUUCAGUCCAAAAGAAGUAAUUUGUAAAGUUAUGAAUAUAUCAGCACAGACUUGGAAAAAUGUAUUAGAAUUGUAGAUUAAAUUCUACUUUGAUUAUACUGGAUAAUAGCUGUUUCUGUGAUAAUAAAUACUAAUUAUAAAAGCACAUUACAGUUUUUAACCUGAUUGCUAUCCCCCAUUUCCUUUCUCUUCCCCUUAUGACUCCUUCAUGCAGAUCGCAGCUUUCUGUGUUUUGGAGCAAGCGUAAGCUACUCCCAUAUGUUGGAGGAAGAGGUACAUAAAGGAACUGGUCCUUUAAUUUAUAAAUAUGUGUUUAUCCUAAUAAAUAGAGUGCCAACAUUUCUCCCCAGACUAAAUCUAGUGUAAAAAAUUCAAAUACAAACUGGAGCAUAAGAGCACAAACCAGAAAUCUCAUUAUUUUGAAAGGGAUACAAAGAUACGUUAAUGUCAGUAUAAACAAAGAGAUUAAAACAAAUAAAUGAGCGAAAACAAAACUGAAGCAAUGAUGUACUACAUGAUGUGAAUAAAUAUAUACUUUUAAUUAUUUAUUUUGUGAAGAAUGAAAUGGUGUGGGGACUGUGGUACCUACAAGAACAGUAGAGUAAUUCAAAAGCAGAAAUGUUAGUAUUUUCUCUAUGCUACUUUUUUAAGCAUCACAUCUAGAUCUUUAGAUGCAGUGAAUUUCUUCCACUUCCCCUAAGGAUGGGUGAAGGAUACUGGAUUCCUCAGACUCAGAUAGAAUGUUAAAACCGUGGAUAUUGAGGAUCUCCCAAGGGACUCCUUCAGUUAUAUUAGUAUUAGAGAUGGGAAACAUUUUUCAUGAACAGCACUUCAGAAAAAUGCCAUGCCUUUAUAAUUAUGACAUACAUUUUCAUCAAAUUAUUUUGACAGUUACGGUCAGAACAA